GGUACAUCCUGCUGGUACGUUCUCUGCACAGUCAUGAUUCCAAAGCAAGCAGUCUCCUCUCCUCUCUGUGAGGCUUGACACUGGGAAGGAGAGAUUAGAAGAGGAGUAUCUCCACUUAUUCUGCUUGUUUGAAAACAUUCCCCUGCUUUUUCUCUUUCUUUCUCUGUCUCUCUGGUAUGACCCUGUUCAAGAGUGAAUAUCACAGCCUAAGACAUAAAACCAUGACUGGGGAAAUGAGAGCCAGCCGCCCAAAGGCGGGAACCAAGAGAGCCAGCAGUGAGGCCUACAGAUCUGACUAUGACCUGGAGUACGACAGCUAUCCAGAUGACCUCUACAACAGGAAGGUUAUUCAUUCUGUCACCUCUGUGUUCUGAGGUACUGCUGUGACCAGCCUCCAGUCACACCUCAUGAGGUCACAUCCAGUGUAGG
ensembl:lncRNA